rnacentral:rRNA from 1 species
UGGGGAAUAUUGCACAAUGGGCGCAAGCCUGAUGCAGCCAUGCCGCGUGUGUGAAGAAGGCCUUCGGGUUGUAAAGCACUUUCAGCGAGGAGGAAGGUGGUGAGCUUAAUACGCUCAUCAAUUGACGUUACUCGCAGAAGAAGCACCGGCUAACUCCGUGCCAGCAGCCGCGGUAAUACGGAGGGUGCAAGCGUUAAUCGGAAUUACUGGGCGUAAAGCGCACGCAGGCGGUUUGUUAAGUCAGAUGUGAAAUCCCCGGGCUCAACCUGGGAACUGCAUUUGAAACUGGCAAGCUAGAGUCUCGUAGAGGGGGGUAGAAUUCCAGGUGUAGCGGUGAAAUGCGUAGAGAUCUGGAGGAAUACCGGUGGCGAAGGCGGCCCCCUGGACGAAGACUGACGCUCAGGUGCGAAAGCGUGGGGCAGCAAACAGGAUUAGAUACCCUGGUAGUCCACGCUGUAAAACGAUGUCGAUUUUGGAGGUUGUGCCCUUGAGGCGUGGCUUCCGGAGCUAACGCGUUAAAUCGACCGCCUGGGGAGUACGGCCGCAAGGUUAAAACUUAAAUGAAUUGACGGGGUCAUAGCUGUUUCCU